rnacentral:sRNA from 1 species
CGCAGGUUCGAAUCCUGCACGACCCACCAAUUUCAGCAUUUAACUCAGAUGCUGAACGUGAAGGAUAACGUUGCGUCAGCAACGGCCCGAAGGGCGAGGCAAAGCCGAGUCAUCCUGCACGACCUACCA